GCUAAACACGUGCCAGGAGCCGUGGUAAUACGGUGGAUGAAAGCGGUGGCCGGAGUUACUGGGCGUAAAGCGCGCGCAGGCGGCAAGGUAAGUAAGGUGUGAAAUCGACCUGCUCAGCGGGUAGGGUGCACUUUAGACUGCUUUGCUUGAGGUCGGUAGAGGGGGGUGGAAUUGCUGGUGUAGCGGUGAAAUGCGUAGAGAUCAGCAGGAACACCCGUGGCGAAGGCGGCCCCCUGGGCCGUACCUGACGCUGAGGCGCGAAGGCUAGGGGAGCGAACGGGAUUAGAUACCCGUGUAGUC
rnacentral:rRNA from 1 species